UCUUCCGCAAUGGACGAAAGUCUGACGGAGCAACGCCGCGUGAGUGAAGAAGGCCUUCGGUGCGUAAAACUCUGUUGCCGGGGAAGAACAAGUGCCGUUCGAACACGGCGGCGCCUUGACGGUACCCGGCCAGAAAGCCACGGCUAACUACGUUCCAGCAGCCGCGGUAAUACGUAGGUGGCAAGCGUUGUCCGGAAUUAUUGGGCGUAAAGCGCGGGCAGGCGGCUUCUUAAGUCUGAUGUGAAAUCUUGCGGCUCAACCGCAAGCGGUCAUUGGAAACUGGGAGGCUUGAGUGAAGAAGAGGAGAGUGGAAUUCCACGUGUAGCGGUGAAAUGCGUAGAGAUGUGGAGGAACACCAGUGGCGAAGGCGGCUCUCUGGUCUGUAACUGACGCUGAGGCGCGAAAGCGUGGGGAGCAAACAGG
rnacentral:rRNA from 1 species